UAAUAAGUGUUUUAUGGCACUUUUUAAAUCCAUAUCCACCUUGUGUGCAAUGUCAGUCGAUCUUCUUCAUGGAGAUCGACCAAACAUCAACCUUUAUCUUUUAACUCUUCGUCUGAAAAAUAUUAUGAAUAAACAAUUCAAAAUA
rnacentral:misc_RNA from 1 species